AACGAACGCUGGCGGCAGGCCUCAAACAUGCAAGUCUAGGGGGUGCAGCAAUGCAUCACCGGCGGACGGGUGCGUAACGCGUGGGAAUAUACCUAUUGGUUCGGAACAACUGCGGGAAACUGCAGCUAAUACCGAAUGUGCCCUCACGGGGAAAGAUUUAUCGCCAAUGGAUUAGCCCGCGUCCGAUUAGCUAGUUGGUGGGGUAAAAGCUCACCAAGGCUCCGAUCGGUAGCUGUUCUGAGAGGAAGAUCAGCCACACUGGGACUGAGACACGGCC
rnacentral:rRNA from 1 species